rnacentral:rRNA from 1 species
UAGGGAAUCUUCCGCAAUGGACGCAAGUCUGACGGAGCAACGCCGCGUGAGUGAAGAAGGAUUUCGGUUCGUAAAACUCUGUUGUUAGGGAAGAACAGCGCAUAGAGUAACUGUUAUGCGUGUGACGGUAUCUAACCAGAAAGCCACGGCUAACUACGUGCCAGCAGCCGCGGUAAUACGUAGGUGGCAAGCGUUGUCCGGAUUUAUUGGGCGUAAAGCGAGCGCAGGCGGUCAAUUAAGUCUGAUGUGAAAGCCCCCGGCUCAACCGGGGAGGGUCAUUGGAAACUGGUUGACUUGAGUGCAGAAGAGGAGAGUGGAAUUCCAUGUGUAGCGGUGAAAUGCGUAGAUAUAUGGAGGAACACCAGUGGCGAAGGCGACUCUCUGGUCUGUAACUGACGCUGAGGUUCGAAAGCGUGGGUAGCAAACAGG